rnacentral:tRNA from 1 species
GCCUCCAUAGCUCAGCUGGAUAGAGCGCGGGCCUUCUAAUCCCGAUGUCGCAGGUUCGAGUCCUGCUGGGGGCACC